AUCUAACUAACGAGUCUCAAAUAGGGCGAAACGCACGUCCUGGAU
rnacentral:hammerhead_ribozyme from 1 species